GCAGUGGUGGUUCAGUGGUAGAAUUCUCGCCUUCCAUGCUGGGAGGCCUAGGUUCGAUUCCUGGUCAAUUUA
rnacentral:tRNA from 1 species